rnacentral:rRNA from 1 species
CCAUUACCUAGAGUAAUUAAGAUCCCUCAGAGACGAUGAGGUUGAUAGGUCUGAGGUGGAAGCGUGGUGACACGUGGAGCUGACAGAUACUAAUGGAUCGAAGACUUAUCUAU